UGAAAUGCUGAAUACAACAGGUGUAGUAGACCUUACGGUGAAAUGCUGAAUACAACAGGUGUAGUAGACCUUACCGUGAAAUGCUGAAUACAACAGGUGUAGUAGACCUUACCGUGAAAUGCUGAAUACAACAGGUGUAGUAGACCUUACGGUGAAAUGCUGAAUACAACAGGUGUAGUAGACCUUACGGUGAAAUGCUGAAUACAACAGGUGUAGUAGACCUUACGGUGAAAUGCUGAAUACAACAGGUGUAGUAGACCUUACGGUGAAAUGCUGAAUACAACAGGUGUAGUAGACCUUACGGUGAAAUGCUGAAUACAACAGGUGUAGUAGACCUUACGGUGAAAUGCUGAAUACAACAGGUGUAGUAGACCUUACGGUGAAAUGCUGAAUACAACAGGUGUAGUAGACCUUACGGUGAAAUGCUGAAUACAACAGGUGUAGUAGACCUUACGGUGAAAUGCUGAAUACAACAGGUGUAGUAGACCUUACGGUGAAAUGCUGAAUACAACAGGUGUAGUAGACCUUACGGUGAAAUGCUGAAUACAACAGGUGUAGUAGACCUCACAGUGAAAUGCUGAAUACAACAGGUGUAGUAGAGGUAGGUAGUAGGUAAAGUGACUAUGCAUAGAUAAUAAACAGCGAGUAGCAGCGGUGUAAAAACAAAGGGAAGGGGGGUUAAUGUAAAUAGUCCGGUGGCCAUUUGUUUAAUUGUGUAGCAGUAUUAUGGCUUGGGGGUAGAAGCUGUUAAGAAGCCAUUUGGUCCGAGACUUGGCGCUCUGGUACCGCUUGCCGUGCGGUAGCAGAGAGAACAGUCUAUGA